CUACGGGAGGCAGCAGUGGGGAAUAUUGCACAAUGGGCGCAAGCCUGAUGCAGCGACGCCGCGUGAGGGAUGAAGGCCUUCGGGUUGUAAACCUCUUUCAGUAGGGAAGAAGCCGGCCUUUUGGGUUGGUGACGGUACCUGCAGAAGAAGCGCCGGCUAACUACGUGCCAGCAGCCGCGGUAAUACGUAGGGCGCAAGCGUUAUCCGGAAUUAUUGGGCGUAAAGAGCUCGUAGGCGGUUUGUCGCGUCUGCCGUGAAAGUCCGGGGCUUAACUCCGGAUCUGCGGUGGGUACGGGCAGACUAGAGUGCAGUAGGGGAGACUGGAAUUCCUGGUGUAGCGGUGAAAUGCGCAGAUAUCAGGAGGAACACCGAUGGCGAAGGCAGGUCUCUGGGCUGUAACUGACGCUGAGGAGCGAAAGCAUGGGGAGCGAACAGGAUUAGAUACCCUGGUAGUCCAUGCCGUAAACGUUGGGCACUAGGUGUGGGGGACAUUCCACGUUUUCCGCGCCGUAGCUAACGCAUUAAGUGCCCCGCCUGGGGAGUACGGCCGCAAGGCUAAAACUCAAAGGAAUUGACGGGGGCCCGCACAAGCGGCGGAGCAUGCGGAUUAAUUCGAUGCAACGCGAAGAACCUUAC
rnacentral:rRNA from 1 species